UACGUAGGGUCCGAGCGUUUGUCCGGAAUUAUUGGGCGUAAAGGGCUCGUAGGCGGUCUGUUGCGUCGGGAGUGAAAACCCAGGGCUUAACCCUGGGCCUGCUUUCGAUACGGGCAGACUAGAGGCAUUCAGGGGAGAACGGAAUUCCUGGUGUAGCGGUGAAAUGCGCAGAUAUCAGGAGGAACACCGGUGGCGAAGGCGGUUCUCUGGGAAUGUUCUGACGCUGAGAAGCGAAAGCAUGGGGAGCGAACAGG
rnacentral:rRNA from 1 species